UUCCCGAAAGUACGUCACUUUGGCUAUGGAGCCUCGUUUUCGUGAUCGAGACGCGGCCUUUAACUGAUGUAUGAUACACGAAAACGAGGCUCUAUAGCCAAAGUGACGUACUUUCGGGAA